GUGCCAGCCGCCGCGGUAACACGGGGGGAGCAAGCGUUGUUCGGAAUCACUGGGCGUAAAGGGCGUGUAGGCGGUUUGGUAAGUGGGAUGUGAAAUGCCCCGGCUCACCCGGGGACCGGCAUCCCAAACUGCCAAGCUUGAGUAUGGGAGAGGAUGUGGGAAUUCCUGGUGUAGCGGUGAAAUGCGUAGAUAUCAGGAGGAACACCGGUGGCGAAGGCGCACAUCUGGCCCAAUACUGACGCUGAGGCGCGAAAGCUAGGGGAGCAAACGGGAUUAGAAACCCUCGUAGUCC
rnacentral:rRNA from 1 species